GAUGAAGAACGAAGCGAAAUGCGAUAAGUAAUGUGAAUUGCAGAAUUCAGUGAAUCAUCGAAUCUUUGAACGCACAUUGCGCCCGCCAGUAUUCUGGCGGGCAUGCCUGUUCGAGCGUCAUUACAACCCUCAGGCCCCCGGGCCUGGCGUUGGGGAUCGGCGGAGCCCCCCGUGGGCACACGCCGUCCCCCAAAUGCAGUGGCGGUCCCGCCGCAGCUUCCAUCGCGUAGUAGCUAACACCUCGCGACUGGAGAGCGGCGCGGCCACGCCGUAAAACACCCAACUCUUCUGAAGUUGACCUCGAAUCAGGAAGGAAUACCCGCUGAACUUAAGCAUAUCAAUAAGCGGAGGA
rnacentral:misc_RNA from 1 species